rnacentral:rRNA from 1 species
UACGAAGGGGGCUAGCGUUGCUCGGAAUCACUGGGCGUAAAGGGUGCGUAGGCGGAUUGCUAAGUCAGGGGUGAAAUCCUGGAGCUCAACUCCAGAACUGCCUUUGAUACUGGCGACCUUGAGUCCGGGAGAGGUGAGUGGAACUGCGAGUGUAGAGGUGAAAUUCGUAGAUAUUCGCAAGAACACCAGUGGCGAAGGCGGCUCACUGGCCCGGUACUGACGCUGAGGUGCGAAAGCGUGGGGAGCAAACAGG